UCGGGGGACAAAGUGACAGGUGGUGCAUGGUUGUCGUCAGCUCGUGUCGUGAGAUGUUGGGUUAAGUCCCGCAACGAGCGCAACCCUUAAGCUUAGUUGCCAUCAUUAAGUUGGGCACUCUAAGUUGACUGCCGGUGACAAACCGGAGGAAGGUGGGGAUGACGUCAAAUCAUCAUGCCCCUUAUGAUUUGGGCUACACACGUGCUACAAUGGACAAUACAAAGGGCAGCGAAACCGCGAGGUCAAGCAAAUCCCAUAAAGUUGUUCUCAGUUCGGAUUGUAGUCUGCAACUCGACUACAUGAAGCUGGAAUCGCUAGUAAUCGUAGAUCAGCAUGCUACGGUGAAUACGUUCCCGGGUCUUGUACACACCGCCCGUCACACCACGAGAGUUUGUAACACCCGAAGCCGGUGGAGUAACCUUUUAGGAGCUAGCCGUCGAAGGUGGGACAAAUGAUUGGGGUGAAG
rnacentral:rRNA from 1 species